GAUGAACGCUGGCGGCGUGCCUAAUACAUGCAAGUCGAGCGAACGGACGAGAAGCUUGCUUCUCUGAUGUUAGCGGCGGACGGGUGAGUAACACGUGGAUAACCUACCUAUAAGACUGGGAUAACUUCGGGAAACCGGAGCUAAUACCGGAUAAUAUUUUGAACCGCAUGGUUCAAAAGUGAAAGACGGUCUUGCUGUCACUUAUAGAUGGAUCCGCGCUGCAUUAGCUAGUUGGUAAGGUAACGGCUUACCAAGGCAACGAUGCAUAGCCGACCUGAGAGGGUGAUCGGCCACACUGGAACUGAGACACGGUCCAGACUCCUACGGGAGGCAGCAGUAGGGAAUCUUCCGCAAUGGGCGAAAGCCUGACGGAGCAACGCCGCGUGAGUGAUGAAGGUCUUCGGAUCGUAAAACUCUGUUAUUAGGGAAGAACAUAUGUGUAAGUAACUGUGCACAUCUUGGCGGUACCUAAUCAGAAAGCCACGGCUAACUACGUGCCAGCAGCCGCGGUAAUACGUAGGCGGCAAGCGUUAUCCGGAAUUAUUGGGCGUAAAGCGCGCGUAGGCGGUUUUUUAAGUCUGAUGUGAAAGCCCACGGCUCAACCGUGGAGGGUCAUUGGAAACUGGAAAACUUGAGUGCAGAAGAGGAAAGUGGAAUUCCAUGUGUAGCGGUGAAAUGCGCAGAGAUAUGGAGGAACACCAGUGGCGAAGGCGACUUUCUGGUCUGUAACUGACGCUGAUGUGCGAAAGCGUGGGGAUCAAACAGGAUUAGAUACCCUGGUAGUCCACGCCGUAAACGAUGAGUGCUAAGUGUUAGGGGGUUUCCGCCCCUUAGUGCUGCAGCUAACGCAUUAAGCACUCCGCCUGGGGAGUACGACCGCAAGGUUGAAACUCAAAGGAAUUGACGGGGACCCGCACAAGCGGUGGAGCAUGUGGUUUAAUUCGAAGCAACGCGAAGAACCUUACCAAAUCUUGACAUCCUUUGACAACUCUAGAGAUAGAGCUUUCCCCUUCGGGGGACAAAGUGACAGGUGGUGCAUGGUUGUCGUCAGCUCGUGUCGUGAGAUGUUGGGUUAAGUCCCGCAACGAGCGCAACCCUUAAGCUUAGUUGCCAUCAUUAAGUUGGGCACUCCAAGUUGACUGCCGGUGACAAACCGGAGGAAGGUGGGGAUGACGUCAAAUCAUCAUGCCCCUUAUGAUUUGGGCUACACACGUGCUACAAUGGACAAUACAAAGGGCAGCGAAACCGCGAGGUCAAGCAAAUCCCAUAAAGUUGUUCUCAGUUCGGAUUGUAGUCUGCAACUCGACUACAUGAAGCUGGAAUCGCUAGUAAUCGUAGAUCAGCAUGCUACGGUGAAUACGUUCCCGGGUCU
rnacentral:rRNA from 1 species